AAUGGGAGCCAUACCACCCUGCAUGUGCUCCAACUUGAAAGUUAAGCAGGAUCAGGUCUGGUUAAUACUUGGAUGGGAGAAGUACACAAAAUGCCUGAGAAAACACCAGCCAACCAUCU
ensembl:rRNA 5S_rRNA 5S ribosomal RNA